rnacentral:lncRNA from 1 species
AGUUGAUAGAGUUCUGUAGUGCCAAAAAGUUUCAGAAACAUAAAUCUAGACCAUUUAUAUUUCCCGAAUUUAUAUUAUUAUAUUUCCCAAAAUAUUGUUUCUCACAUAUUCAAAUUCACAACUCAUUUGAGAAUGUUUCACUUAUACAGAGCCCAUCUAAUGUUUAUUUUAACAUCUCAUUUACAAGUUCUGUUCAUUUUUUUUCAUUUGUGGGAUCUAUGAUCGUUGGUCCAAUUCGAGAUAUCGUGAUUAAGUGUGCACAGGAUCCAGGUUAGUAAAGGAGUCUAUACGUGGAACAGUUACAAUGCCUAGUCAUAUACAAAUUCAGGUUUAUUUGAGAGAGGAAAACAAAAUGUAAUUGAUAUAUUGAAUACAUGAAUAAAAAUGAACAAAUCAAAGAAACAAUUUAUAUGAUAAAUGAAUGAAAUUAACUAUACCUAUCAAUUUUAUCAAUCACAAACGGGUUGAAAUAUUGCUCUUUAGACACUCAGUAUACCUGGCAGAGUCGGAUGUCUCAGAGAUAGAAUGUCCAGGUUUUAGAAAUGGAAUGUCCAGGUUCCUGCUUUAUGAUGGACUUCUGUUCCUCUUGAAUCCACUGUCUUAUCUGAUUUUUCUUCUCCUCCUGUUUUCCAUCUUGCAUCUACAAGAUAAGAUUCAUUUCCUUCCUAUCUCUCUGAUGUUAUCAGAUGUUUAUUUAACUUCCUUUUUCACAGUCCAAC